GGUUUUGGGACAGCGGCAAUCAUGGCGCCACCCGUGAGAUACUGCAUCCCCGGCGAACGUCUGUGUAACUUGGAGGAGGGCAGCCCGGGCAGCGGCACCUACACCCGCCACGGCUACAUCUUUUCGUCGCUUGCCGGUUGUCUGAUGAAGAGCAGCGAGAAUGGCGCGCUUCCAGUGGUGUCUGUAGUGAGAGAAACAGAGUCCCAGUUACUGCCAGAUGUGGGAGCUAUUGUAACCUGUAAGGUCUCUAGCAUCAAUUCACGCUUUGCCAAAGUACACAUCCUGUAUGUGGGGUCCAUGCCACUUAAGAACUCUUUUCGAGGAACUAUCCGGUAAGAAGUAUCCUUUUCACAUAUACCUUAGCAACUGGAAUAAGAUUAGGAUAGACUAGGACACCAGAAUUUUGAGCAACAGUUACAAUUCCUAUUUUUCUCUUGCCCAUUUUUCUUUCUUCUUUGUGCUUUGAUUCUCCCCUAGUAGUAUCCAAAAAAUACAUGGAUGAUCUAGGACAAAAGGAAAAUAUUAAUGAGAGGGUUUAAAAGUAAAGCAAAGGCUGGGCGCGGUGGCUCACGCCUGUUAUCCUAGCACUUUGAGAAGCUGAGGCGGGUGGAUCUCUUGAGAUCAAGAGUUUGAGACCAGCCUAGCCAACAUGGUGAAACCCCAUCUCUGUAAAAAAUACAAAAAUUAGCCAGGCACAGUGGCUCACACCUGUAAUCCUAGCACUUUGGGAGGCUGAGGU
rnacentral:sRNA from 1 species